rnacentral:rRNA from 1 species
GAUGAACGCUGGCGGCGUGCCUAAUACAAGUAAGUCGAGCUAACGGACGAGAAUCUUUCUUCUCUUAUGUUAGCGGCGGACGGGUGAGUAACACGUGGAUAACCUACCUAUAAGACUGGGAUAACUUCGGGAAACCGUAGCUAAGACCGGAUAAUAUUUUGAACCGCAUGGUUCAAAAGUGAAAGACGGUCUUGCUGUCACUUAUAGAUGGAUCCGCGCUGCAUUAGCUAGUUGGUAAGGUAACGGCUUACCAAGGCAACGAUGCAUAGCCGACCUGAGAGGGUGAUCGGCCACACUGGAACUGAGACACGGUCCAGACUACUACGGGAGGCAGCAGUAGGGAAUCUUCCGCAAUGGGCGAAAGCCUGACGGAGCAACGACGCGUGAGUGAUGAAGGUAUUCGGAUCGUAAAACUCUGUUAUUAGGGAAGAACAUAUGUGUAAGUAACUGUGCACAUCUUGACGGUACCUAAUCAGAAAGCCACGGCUAACUACGUG